CGAGCUUGUAGCUUAAAACUCAAAGGACUUGGCGGUGUCCCACACCCUACUAGAGGAGCCUGUUCUAUAAGCGAUAAUCCACGAUAAACCUUACCACCCUUUGCCAUUCAGCCUAUAUACCGCCGUCUYYAGCUUACCUUAUGAAAGCUAAAAAGUAAGCAAAAUAGCCCUCUACAGCUAGAAAGUCAGGUCCAGGUGUAGCCAAUAGAGUGGAUGUAAUGGGCUACAUUUUCUAAAAUAGAAAUAUUCACGAACAGACCCUUGAAACAGGGACUAAGAAGCAGGAUUUAGCAGUAAUCUAGGAAU
rnacentral:rRNA from 1 species